AUUGAACGCUGGCGGCAGGCCUAACACAUGCAAGUCGAGCGGAUGAAGGGAGCUUGCUUCUGGAUUCAGCGGCGGACGGGUGAGUAAUGCCUAGGAAUCUGCCCGGUAGUGGGGGACAACGUUUCGAAAGGAACGCUAAUACCGCAUACGUCCUACGGGAGAAAGCAGGGGACCUUCGGGCCUUGCGCUAUCAGAUGCGCCUAGGUCGGAUUAGCUAGUUGGUGAGGUAAUGGCUCACCAAGGCGACGAUCCGUAACUGGUCUGAGAGGAUGAUCAGUCACACUGGAACUGAGACACGGUCCAGACUCCUACGGGAGGCAGCAGUGGGGAAUAUUGGACAGUGGGCGAAAGCCUGAUCCAGCCAUGCCGCGUGUGUGAAGAAGGUCUUCGGAUUGUAAAGCACUUUAAGUUGGGAGGAAGGGUUGUAGAUUAAUACUCUGCAAUUUUGACGUUACCGACAGAAUAAGCACCGGCUAACUCUGUGCCAGCAGCCGCGGUAAGAC
rnacentral:rRNA from 1 species